UGGAAAGUGCGGUGAGGAAGUGUUCCUAGUUGAUGGUAAUUUCCAAUGAAAGGGAGUUUUGGUGGACAUGGUGGUAGCUUCAAUUUGGUUCUUCUAAUUUUGAGUUUAUGAAAAAAAAAUAGUAGUACUAGUAUGAUGAUUAUGAAGGUAGAUAUAAUAAAAAACGUAGCAUCAUCUAUGUUAUAUGGUAGUAAUUUUCUCCUCACAUAUGAUAAUAGAUUUAGAUCCAUUAUCGUUAUUAUUCUUCUUCCAUUCAUCAUCUCAAUAAUGAUCAUGAAGCACUAUAUAUAAGUGCCGCCAUUGGAGAUGGCGUGAGUACCCAAGAGGCUGGGAUACUUAUCAUUAAAGUAUAUUUGCUUUUUAUUUUUAAUAUUAAAGUUUAUUUGCAAUUGUGCUCCAACUGUAAUUGCAUGACACGAUGGACACUACUUAAACGACGGCACAUUGGUUUCGCGCUCAAACCCUUUGGGAACCAUGUCGUUUUAGUUUUUAUGGGUUAAAACUCUCUUUCUUUCCACUACGACGAUCAUAAGUUGCCAAAUAUCAAGAAAAUCCUUACACUACGUGGUUUCCAAAGGGUUUGCGUGCGAAACCAAUGCGCCGUCGUUUAAGUAGUGUCCACCAUGUCAUGCAAUUGCACUAGAUCAGCAUUAUUCUGGUAACGGAAAUGAUCGCAGGGAUAAGCUGGAGCCACAAUUACAAAUUUGAAGAUUCUAAUUGGGGCCAACGAAAUUGUGAGGGUCAUUUUAAGUAUCAGGCAAAAUUUUAGGAACCAAAUUGAGAUUUAACUCAUAUAUUGUGUUGUAUCAUGAAAAUGAGAGGUGUAUUAUGAAAUUAUGAAGGACAAUUAAAAAAAAUUGAGAGUCAAAUUUAAAUACCAAAAAUAUGAGAAUAAGAUUUGUGUUUAUGAUUUCUUUUUUAUUUGCUAAAAUAAAAAAUUGAGGAUCGUUAUUUAUAAAAUUUUAUUAUUUUAAAAUCACAGAUCUAAUAGUCAAAUUUGUGUACCUAUAAAAUUUUAUCAUAAAAUUUGAUCCUUAAAUUUUUCAUUUCUACACUAAAAAAAUCACAUCACAUUUAUUCAUCUCUAAAAAAGAUUAGUUUAUAUUCUAUAAAAAAUUUUAGUUAGCCAGUACUAGUCAAUUUAAGAAUUUAGCUUUUACAAUUUAAAAAUAAUGUUAAUAAUUUAUGAUUUAGAAGGUAAGAUAAAUAAAAUACUUUUUAAAGGAAUUAGUUAAUGUUGGUCGAAAAAAGUUGAUUUUUUAAAGAUUGUUUAAAAGGAAGAUUGAAACUAAGAAAUAGAGAUUAGGAGAUAAAGACUGAGAGAUAAAAAUUAAAAAAUAAAAACUGAAAAGUAAAAAUUAAAUUAAGUCUCUAUAUUAUAUUUGAUUAAGUUAUAUCUCACUUAUCAUAUUUAGUUUAAGAUAAAAAAAAAGAUUAAGGGAUAGAUUUAGAAUUUAAAAAGAUAAACGGGAGUAUUUUUUAAAAAAAAAAAUUAUUAAAAUUUCAGUUUUUAUUCCUAAAAAAUUCAGUCUCUUAAGUUUUUUGUUUAUUUUUUUUCGAAGUACUUAAGAGACUAAAAAUUUAUGACCAAAAUUAAAAUUUUAGUUCCAACAAACACAAUAUAUCAAUACUCAAUUUUAGUCCUUCAAUCUUGAUUCUAGUCCCAAAAAACAAACACAGUCUAAUAUUACUCAUUUUAUAUUUUUUAAAGUCGAAAUAUAUUUUUUUUAUUAGAAAAAAAUUAUCAGUUUGAUUUCUAAAUGACAUAAUAAAUGUGGGCAGCUGCUAAAAAAUGUUUUAUUAGUGAUUUAUACUUUAAUGAUUAAUUAUUACUCACAACCACUACUAUAAUUAAGUUUAAUUUAGUUUGCUUAUGUUUAGAUUUGCAUAAAUUUUAUAUAAUUUUUUUAGUUGAAAUUAAUUAAAAUAAUAUCCUAAAAAUUUUUAGUCAUACAAAUUAUAAUAUUAUGUCAUGAUAAUAAAUUUAUUGUAUAUCUCUAAAAUUUAAUCAGAUAAUCCUUUUUAAAAUUUAAACUAAACCUAACUCUAUAACCAAACAAAUAAAUUUAAAUUUAAAUGAUAAUAAAUUUGUUAUAUAUCUCUAAUAGAACUUUCCCGGCAUAAGAUAACGACACAAAUGUUGCUCUAUUAUGUGGUUCGGUGCAUGGCAAGAUAUUUUAAAAUUUUGAUCCCUUGCUUCUUUGUUUGUAUCCUUAAAAUUCAAAGAAACACAUCAUAAUGAUAAUAACUGCAACAAGAUUGCAUACUACAAAACAGAGGUAAUAUUCAAUGUAACUCAAGAUAAGAUAGAAGAUAAAAAAAAAAGUUUUUUAUUUUAAUUUAAUUUUUUGAUAUAAUAAUUAAAAAAAUUCUUUUAUUUUAUUUAUUUAUAUUUAAAUUUUUUAAAAAAAUUCAAAAAAAUGUAUUCAUCAAAUUAAAUUAAAAUAUUUUAAAAAUAUAAAUUAAUAUUUUUUCGUCAAUAAGUAAUAGUUCAAAGGGCUCAAAUGGUAUAGACUCUCCAUACUCAAUUAAGAGGUUGCGAGUUUGAGUCUUCUAUUUUUUUAAAUUUUUGCCAAUGCGUAAUAGCUCAAAUGACAUAGACUCCUCAUACUCAAUUAAGAGGUUGCAGGUUCGAGUCUUCUAUCUUUCUAAACUUUUAGCCAAUGAGUAAUAGCUCAAAUGACAUAGACUCCCCAUACUCAAUUAACUCCAUACUCAAUUAAGAGGUUGAGGAUUCGAGUCUUCUAUCUUUCUAAUUUUUUUUUUAAAUAAUAUUUGAACUUUUUAUAUCACAAACAUUUAAAAUAUGUCUUAAGAGGUGUAUUAUUGUGGUCAACGAGUAAUAGCUCAAAUGGCAUGGCAUAGUCUCCCUAUUCUCAAUUAAGAAGUUGCGGAUUCGAGUCUCGUAUCUUUGGUAAAAAAAAGAAGUGUAUUAUUGUGAUGACAGAUAUUAUUGGCGUUAUAUGUUAUAUAUUAUCUUCAGUAGUAUGAUGAUUAUGAAGGUAGAUAUAACAAAAAAAGUAACAUCAUCUAUGUUAUAUGGUAGUAAUUUUCUCCUCACAUAUGAUAAUAGAUUUAGAUCCAUUAUCGUUAUUAUUCUUCUUCC
rnacentral:lncRNA from 1 species